CCUACGGGUGGCUGCAGUGAGGAAUAUUGGUCAAUGGACGCAAGUCUGAACCAGCCAAGUCGCGUGAAGGAAGACGGCCCUAUGAGUUGUAAACUUCUUUUGUCCGGGGGUAAACGCCGCUACGCGUGGCUUUCUGAAAGUACCUUACGAAUAAGGAUCGGCUAACUCCGUGCCAGCAGCCGCGGUAAUACGGAGGAUUCAAGCGUUAUCCGGAUUUAUUGGGUUUAAAGGGUGCGUAGGCGGUUGGAUAAGUUAGAUGUGAAAUUUCGAGGCUCAACCUCGGCAUUGCCUCUGAUACUGUUCGGCUUGAGAGUAGUUGAGGUAGGCGGAAUGUGUGGUGUAGCGGUGAAAUGCUUAGAGAUCAUACAGAACACCGAUUGCGAAGGCAGCUUACCAAGCUACUUCUGACGUUGAGGCACGAAAGCGUGGGUAGCAAACAGGAUUAGAUACCCGUGUAGUC
rnacentral:rRNA from 1 species